rnacentral:rRNA from 1 species
UGGUGAAUUUUGGACAAUGGGGGCAAACCUGAUCCAGCCAUUCCGCGUGAGUGAAGAAGGCCUUCGGGUUGUAAAGCUCUUUCAGCUGGAACGAAACGGUGCGCUCUAACAUAGCGUGCUAAUGACGGUACCAGCAGAAGAAGCACCGGCUAACUACGUGCCAGCAGCCGCGGUAAUACGUAGGGUGCGAGCGUUAAUCGGAAUUACCGGGCGUAAAGCGUGCGCAGGCGGAUUGUUAAGCAAGAUGUGAAAUCCCCGGGCUUAACCUGGGAAUGGCAUUUUGAACUGGCAGUCUAGAGUGCGUCAGAGGGGGGUGGAAUUCCACGUGUAGCAGUGAAAUGCGUAGAGAUGUGGAGGAACACCAAUGGCGAAGGCAGCCCCCUGGGAUGACACUGACGCUCAUGUACGAAAGCGGGGGUAGCAAAAA